rnacentral:rRNA from 1 species
GACGUAGGGGACGAGCGUUGUCCGGAUUCAUUGGGCGUAAAGCGCGCGUAGGCGGUUCGGUAGUCGGUGUGAAACACGAGGCUACAACCUCGUGCGUGCAUCCGAUACUGCCGGACUAGAGGUAGGUAGGGGAGAAUCGGAAUUCCGUGGUGUAGCGGUGAAAAUGCGCAGAUAUCAGGAGGAACACCGGUGGCGAAGGCGGAUCUCUGGGCCUACCUGACGCUCAGGCGCGAAAGCUAGGGGAGCGAAACAGG